GCCAAAAUGAUUUUAGUGAAGAUGUUGCAUACCUGCAAACUUUUCAAAAUGCCCAUGGAGGUUUUACGUGCAAAAGUGCUCUUGUAGUCCUAAGAAACCUCCAAGGGGGCCUUAAAAUGUCUUUUAAUGUUGUUAUUUUGGCUUCUUCAUACUUUUACAAGUCUAAAUCCAUUGUAAAAUGUAUGUUUUGUUUAAAAUUGUGGACAAAAUUGCUUAUUCAAAUUUUCCAUUUUGGAGCUUCAAUGGGGGGAAUCCCCAGCAAAUAGUGACAGUUGGCAGGUAUUUGUUGGUACCACCUUUAUAAUGCACAUUUUCAAAUAUUUGAAGGCUGACACUUCUUUGGCUGAUGUCAUAAUAACCAGAGUAAAAGGUUGAAUUGAGUGUUAUCAGAUCAUUGUAACCCAAACUUGAUUACAAGAUCUGUAUGUUAAUAUGACUGUUGCAUUUGUUAUGAAUUUUUUUGUUGUGCUAAAAAUUGAUUGUUUAUCAAGAUCACCAUGGUCACUAUCAGUAAAAUUCAUCACCAAAACUUGAAGGUUUACAAACAGCCGUUGUUUUUAUUAACAAGCACCAAAUGAAUUAUUUUCAUGUGUCUGAUGUGGAUUUCAAAAGUAUAUAUAUGUCAUGGGUUCGUACAAGUUUAAAAAAGCCAAAAUCUGUACAGAGGAAUUAGUUUUAAUAGCACAUAUGCAUCAUGCAAGCAUUGGCUCAAUAAUUUUCUUAACAUUAAAGUUACCAGAAUUUCUUCCAAUAUGACUUAACAUUAAGUGCAUGUAGUAUAAUAAUAUAAGAAAUCAUA
rnacentral:lncRNA from 1 species